rnacentral:rRNA from 1 species
UUGAAUAAAUCUGGUGUGAAGACUGUUGCUGGCCUUUAUAAAAAGUGUAUGUGCACGUCUUCUACCAUUUUUACAAAACCCCCCUUGUGCAUUUUUAAAAAAUAGAUCCUGAGUUCACUCGAGAAACAAUCUUUCUUGGUCUAGAGAACUUGCUGUAUUCAUAUACAAUACAGCUUUUCUUGUUUAUCAGGUCUAUAUACUAUAUCACACUCCAAUAUGUAUAAGAAGGGCUAUUAAGGAAACAUUUGUUUCUUUAAAAAUAAAUACAACUUUCAACAACGGAUCUCUUGGCUCUCGCAUCGAUGAAGAACGCAGCGAAAUGCGAUAAGUAAUGUGAAUUGCAGAAUUCAGUGAAUCAUCGAAUCUUUGAACGCAUCUUGCGCUCCUUGGUAUUCCGAGGAGCAUGCCUGUUUGAGUGUCGUGAAAUAAUCAAUCUCAUUCUGACUUUUUGAAUAUAAAAAAGUUAGCUUGAAUUGGAUCGAUGGGAGUUGUGCUGAUUUAUUGUCAGCUCUCCUUAAAUACAUUUAGUAAAAUUGUUGCUGAUUAUCAUUAGUAUGAUAAUUAUUUGUACUAUUGAAGUAUCAGCUCUCUAUUUUACUACUAAUUGUCUCUAUGUGAGACGGUAUUCUUUUAAUUCUGACCUCAAAUCAGGUAGGAUUACCCGCUGAACUUAAGCAUAUCAAUAA